rnacentral:rRNA from 1 species
GACGAACGCUGGCGGCGUGCCUAAUACAUGCAAGUCGAACGCUUCCUAUCGGUGCUUGCACCGAGAAAGAAGAGUGGCGGACGGGUGAGUAACACGUGGGUAACCUACCUAUAAGCGGGGGAUAACAUUCGGAAACGGAUGCUAAUACCGCAUAGAUCUUAAUGCCUCCUGGCAUUGGGAAGAAAGACGGCUUCGGCUGUCACUUGUAGAUGGACCCGCGGCGCAUUAGUUAGUUGGUGAGGUAAUGGCUCACCAAGACGAUGAUGCGUAGCCGACCUGAGAGGGUGAUCGGCCACACUGGGACUGAGACACGGCCCAGACUCCUACGGGAGGCAGCAGUAGGGAAUCUUCCGCAAUGGACGAAAGUCUGACGGAGCAACGCCGCGUGAGUGAAGAAGGUUUUCGGAUCGUAAAACUCUGUUGUUAGAGAAGAACAAGGAUGAGAGUAACUGUUCAUCCCUUGACGGUAUCUAACCAGAAAGCCAUGGCUAACUACGUGCCAGCAGCCGCAGUAAGAC